ensembl:lncRNA
AUUAUGUUUACCCUAUCUUUUUAUAUUUCUAAUUUUUUUAUAUAUUUCUAAUUUAGAUGUAUCGAACACAUACAUAAAAAUUGCAUGCAGAAUUUCCUUGGAAAAUUGGCUAUGGAAAGUAUAUCAUGUUCCUCAAAGGCAUCAGCUAGAGUUGAUACUACCUGAUUUUCUAACUCCCUGGGAAAUUCGAGCUGUUGGUGUUUCAAAUAAAGGUCUGUGUACGGCUGAUGUACUGUGGUUGCAGGUGUGCAAAGAUGAAUUCCCGGCCAUAAACAACAGUGUUACAAGAGCCAAUGAAAAGGGCUAAUCUCCCACACGAGAGCUCCGGGAAUUUGAAUGGGCAGGCCCAUGCUCUUGUUACUAAAAGAAAAAGAAAAAAGGUUCCAAAUGCUCUGGACCAACAAAUUGGCCUUAGAUUAAUUGUGCUACGAAUUGCAGUGCAGGGAAGGGGGUGUGUGAUGGACUGCGAGGCUGGGGCUGACAUGUGUGCACUGCCGUGAGUAAAGCAGGUAACUGAUGAGCGCCUGCCGCACAGCACAGGGAACUAGACUCAGCACCGGGCGGUGGCCUCGAUGGCAAGGAAGUCCAAAAGAGAGGGGAUAGAUGUGUGUGUAUAACUGAUUCCCUUUGCUG